GGUAAGAUGGCUGAGUGUUUAAGCGGUGGGCCGUAGCCCCAUAUAUAGAGGUUCAAUUCCUCUUCUUUCCA
rnacentral:tRNA from 1 species